GCGACUUUAUCAAUGCAUUGCCUAUCAAUUUCAUAAUUCCUGUAUAAUUGUAUUUGCUGAUAUCAGGAUUUGAUCUUGUCCAUUGCCUAUCAAUUUGAGAAAUUGUAUACGCAAGUUGAACUGCGUCGUCGCUAUAUCGUCUCAUUUUCUAUUGUGGUCCAAGGUUGGACAAGUCACUGCAUCCACGUUAAGCAGUAUGCUUUGCUUUAUUCUUUUGCACCUCAAGGCAUAACGUGAAAGAUCGAUUGCUUGUUGAUAAUCCAUCUCGCAACCACUUACCAUGGUGCUAAUGCAGAACCUCUCUAGUGGAUUCUUGGGUCCCUAUCUAUGGCCUUGACCAUUUGACAGAGGUCUUUGUGGGAAAGAAGCUCAUGCAGAUUGGAGGAUUGACCUUGGCUAGGGCAAGAAUGGAGGAAGGGAGAAUCCACAAUCCAUCCCCACAAAUUAGACCCGAUGCGACGGCCGGGAUCAUGAGGCCGG